rnacentral:rRNA from 1 species
UGUUAGUUGGCAUGGCGCCCGUACCCCAAACCGACACAGGUGGGCAGGUAGAGAAUACCAAGGCGAUCGGGAGAACUGUGGUUAAGGAACUCGGCAAAAUACCUCCGUAACUUCGGGAGAAGGAGGGCCUCGUUAGGGUGAUGGACCUCGCGUCCUGAGCUCGAGGAGGCCGCAGUGACCAGGGGAAAGCGACUGUUUACUAAAAACACAGCAGCGUGCUAAGCCGUAAGGCGAUGUAUACGCUGUGACGCCUGCCCGGUGCCGGAAGGUUACGGGGAAGGGUUAGCCGCAAGGCGAAGCUCUGAACCUAAGCCCCGGUAAACGGCGGCGGUAACUAUAACCGUCCUAAGGUAGCGAAAUUCCUUGUCGGGUAAGUUCCGACCAGCACGAAUGGCGUAACGACUUUCCUACUGUCUCAACCACAGACCCGGCGAAAUUGAAGUACGAGUAAAGAUGCUCGUUAGCUGCAGCAGGACGGAAAGACCCCGUGCACCUUUACUACAACUUGGUAUUGGGUUUUGUUAUGCGCUGUGUAGGAUAGGUGGGAGACUUGGAAGCAUUGGCGCCAGCCAGUGUGGAGUCACCCUUGAAAUACCACCCUGCGUAUGACGGGACUCUAACCUUCGUCCGUGAUCCGGAUGGGGGACAGUGCCAGGCGGGUAGUUUGACUGGGGCGGUCGCCUCCUAAAUUGUAACGGAGGCGCGCAAAGGUUCCCUCAGCCUGGUUGGCAAUCAGGCGUCGAGUGCAAUCGCACAAGGGAGCUUGACUGCGAGACCUACAAGUCAAGCAGGUACGAAAGUAGGCGAUAGUGAUCCGGCGGCUCCUUGUGGAAGGGCCGUCGCUCAACGGAUAAAAGGUACGCCGGGGAUAACAGGCUCAUCUUCCCCAAGAGUCCAUAUCGACGGGAAGGUUUGGCACCUCGAUGUCGGCCCAUCGCAUCCUGGGGCUGAAGCAGGUCCCAAGGGUUGGGCUGUUCGCCCAUUAAAGCGGUACGCGAGCUGGGUUUAGAACGUCGUGAGACAGUUCGGUCCCUAUCCGCUGCAGCCGGAGGAAACUUGAGGAAGGCUGUCCCUAGUACGAGAGGACCGGGACGGACGCAGCUCUCGUGUGCCAGUUGUCCUGCCAAGGGCACUGCUGGUUAGCGACCUGCGGAAGGGAUAAGUGCUGAAAGCAUCUAAGUACGAAGCCCGUUCCAAGAUGAGGUUUCCCACUGGGUCAACCAGGUAAGGCCCGUGACAGACCAUCACGUUGAUAGGCCGGAGGUGUACGCACAGCAAUGUGUUCAGCCGACCGGUACUAAUCGGCCGAGGGCUUGGAUCG